GGAAAAGGGUUCUGAAGUUAGAACAGAUGGUGCAUCAGUCCAUUGCAGAAUUCUGUUUUCAGACAGAGGAAAACUUUAUAUUGAAGGGUCCAAGAAAAAGCAAUAGUGAGACUGACAAAGAUGGCCUCUGUAAAGGAAGCUGAAGACCACUUUCUUGGACCUCAUUGCACCAACUUCUGUCAUACUUGACUUUUCAGCAGUCUAGCUACAUUCAAAAAAACCCUAUGGAAACACUGAACUUCAGGCACAUGCUGUGAAUGCUUUGAUUUCAGUGGAACCUUAAUCACAGGCUUAAAAUGUUACGCUGAAUUUGGAUUGAAACGCCUAAAAAACACUCAAACAAAAUCCUACAGUCUGGUCAGUAUUUAUCUUUGUCAUGAGUUUUUACCCCUGAAGAUGUGAUGCUUUGUAGGUUUAUGCCACACUGGUCUAG